rnacentral:lncRNA from 1 species
GUUUACCAGAUAUCAGAAUAUGCAUUUAUUACUUUUUUCUCACAAUUUUGGUCUGGGGGAAAUACAUUUGGUCUCAUUCAUCUGUGCCUUCUAUAACACCAAGUACAGUCUCCAGCAUUUGGUGCUGUAAAAUACAUAUUUACAUUUUCAAAGUAAAUUCUUUUCCCAUGUACUGUUCAGCGCCUGGAUAUCUCUGCCCAGAAGGCACAAUCUGUGAGUUUGCUUUGGUUUCAGAACAGAAAGGAAGCAUGUGGAAAACAGGCUGCUGGGGCAGAAGUGUCAUUUUGGCUGCUAGGCACGUGAACCCUGGAAGCUAUCCAAAUCGGUGACCCUGGGGGGGAUGUGACAAGCUCAGGCCCUUCCCUGGCUGGCCCAGACGGUCCAAGGCGGUUAGGCAGUCUUCCGAAGUGGCAGGUGGCAGGAGCGUGAUUCGGAGUGGUCCAUUCAAUUUCUAACAGGUCCUCUGACAAUGGCUGGGCAACUCUAGGUGGGUCAACGCCAAGCACAACUCAGUACGUUGGGGAGGACAGGGGCUCGCAGCCCUGUUUCCAGCCCCUCCCUGCCAAAGGCCAGCUUCAGCGCGUCCACGAAGCCCUCGUAAUUCGCCAGGAUAGGGCUCUGUCUUAAUAUAGGGGACAACCCACUCCUCCGCCGGCCCACUGAGGCGACUGAUUAAAAACGCCACCUUGAGGGUAUCACUUAAGAAUCUGUCCUCGAAAAACCUCAUAUAAGAGGCCGCUUGGAUCUAAAACUCGGGAAGCCGCGUGGAGUCGCUUUUUAAAAUCUCAGGACGAGCUACCGGGCAGGCGGGCGGACACACCUGAGCCAGCAGGUUGGCUUUCUCGCAUAGCAGCCGCCGCACCUGGUCCAUGAGCUCAGUGUUCUCCCUGCGCAGGGCAUAGUUCUGCGGCAGGGGGUCCCGCAUCAGGAUGGCCAGCGCGUCCAUCGCCGCCCGCCCGCGCUGCCGCCAGGCCGGAAGUGCGUUUAGCUCAGGGGCGGGUCCGGCGGCAGCAUGUCGGCAUUCCGCGGGCCUGGCCGGGCCUAGGCCCGAGCACUGGCUGGCAGGGUCGUCGAGACUCUUCGCCGGAGAAGCGGGAGUCAGGAAGCCCAAAACCGGCGAGCGGCAGGGAGUGGAGGAGAUCUGGGGCUAGGAAACGGGGCGGCGCCGCAGGCUAAAGCACCGUGUUCAGCGGAGGAAUCUGACUUCGUGGCGGCGCGCAGCGACUUCCGGUGGGCGCCU